rnacentral:rRNA from 1 species
ACAGCAGCCGCCGCGGUAAUACGGAGGGUGCAAGCGUUAAUCGGAAUUACUGGGCGUAAAGCGCACGCAGGCGGUCUGUCAAGUCAGAUGUGAAAUCCCCGGGCUUAACCUGGGAACUGCAUUUGAAACUGGCAGGCUAGAGUCUUGUAGAGGGGGGUAGAAUUCCAGGUGUAGCGGUGAAAUGCGUAGAGAUCUGGAGGAAUACCGGUGGCGAAGGCGGCCCCCUGGACAAAGACUGACGCUCAGGUGCGAAAGCGUGGGGAGCAAACAGGAUUAGAGACCCGGUAGUCCCUGUCUCUUAUACA